UGAAAAUAACAUACAAUCAAGAAAAAAUUGACAGCAAUAACUUCAUCUUUAUUGGCAUCAUUGGUUCCUGGAUUUCAACAUAGAUCUGUGAAACAUACAGUGAAAUAUGGACCUUUUCUAUAUAACCUGGAAAUAACGUGUACAAAUAAAUACUAUACGUCGAAAUGAGGAGAAUACUUGGACACCUGAAAUCGUUUGUGGGCGGGUGGAAUCAAAAUUUUAGAAUCUACUCGAUUUAGUGGUCAGCAAGCAUAUGCUUCACGGUGUACUCCAGUCUACCAUGCAGUCCAACCAUUAAACAGGUAACAUAUACAGAAAUUCAAAAUGGCUGGCAAACUAAGUGGAAUGUGUGCAGGUUCUAAGAUAAUCUACCUUUUUUGUCUGUUUGCUUGCUUGACAAGUUUCUUAAUUGGAACUGAAACAGCCAACAGGCAAUCAGUAUUUACAACACUAGAGAGGAGGUUCCGCUAUAAAAGCGUCACUUUAGGAUUCGUUAUCAGUGCUUAUGACUUUGGAUUUUUCCCCGGGACUAUACUGUUUGGAUUGAUUGCGGACAGACUGAGCAGUAUACCUAGACUGGUGCAUGGAUCUGCAUUAGGUCUCUGCCUUUCAAGUUUUCUAUUUCUCCUACCUCAUUUAAUAUUUGGACCAGGUGAUGAUAUCAUUGUUAAAGAUGCUAUUCCAACAGAGGGCACUGAAGAGGUUGAGACAGAUCUUUGUGGGAUUGCAGCUACGUCCUUUGUUAACACUUCUUAUCAAAGUAACAACUCAUAUUCAACUGCUAAGUCAAAAGAGGAAUGUUCAGUGGGGCAAAUCAACCAUAUAGAACAGGGAGUGACAUCUUUUAUCAUAGUUGUAGCCCAGAUACUUAUUGGAGCCUCACUAGCCCCAGUUACCAAUGUGUCUGUGAGUUUUGUAGAUAGGCAACUACAGCACAAAGGCACUUCUAUCUAUAUUGCAUGUGUAUGGGGAAGUUUCUUUGCUGGAGUUACAUUUGGCUACCUCCUAGGGGCCCUCUAUACAAGCUUUUAUAUUGACUUAUCAGAUCCAGGCAUUGAUGCUAAUCACAGCAGUUGGAUUGGUGCUUGGUGGCUUGGUUCUGUCACCACGUGUUGUCUCAGCUUCCUCCUUACAUGUGCCUACUUCUGUAUUCCCAGUCACAUCCCAGGCCCACCAGCUAUAGAGAUUGAUAAAGAAGAUAAGGAGGAAAAUGAGGAAAUUGAUCUCAAUAAUCUCACUAAAAAUAAGACUGAAUAUUCAGCAAUGUUGGGUGAUAAUAAUGAAGAUCAACACUACAUUAAGGCUGAGGAGGUCAUUGGGGCAAAUGACAAUAAACAUGAUAGGCAGUUCGAGAGUGAUGCUGUGGGGAUUGAAAUGGACCAUCUUAAUUCUAAUGCUAGUUCAACUGAUCCCAAAAAUACAGGAACUUUGCAGGCUUUUAAAAAACUAGUUUGCAAUCCUGUAUAUAUCGGUCUUGUAAUAGGAAAUUUCCCAGCUGUGUGGAUAUAUGGGAUGUAUGGGUCCACAUUUCUACCUAAGUACCUUGAGACACAGUUCCACACAACUGCCUCCAUGUCAAACAUGCUUGCAGCUAUACUAGGAGGAGGUGGUACAACAUUAGGGAUGAUAGUCAGUGCUAUCAUCCAGGAGAAGUUCAAGCUGACUCUGAGACAAACAUUGAAGCUGAUAGUAGGGGGUUCUGUAGCAGCUAUGUGUAUACCACUGAUCUUCCUUACAUUCAACUGCCACCAGCCACCACUUACAGGGCAAAUUGACCAGCAGGGCGUGUCAGAAAGUCUGUCAUGUGUUGCCAACUGUGCAUGUGAUGUCACAGUGUCUCCAGUGUGUGUAGAUGGUACAACAAGUUACUUUUCUGCUUGCCUGGCUGGCUGUAAACAGACCGAGGUUAUAAAUGAUCAACAGUACUAUUCCAACUGCAGCUGUCUCCAUGGCAACAGCUCAGUUGUUAAAGGUUGGUGCCCCAACAAUUGUACUCCUAUGGUAACAGGCUACAUCAUCUUUUGUUUUGCUUUGUUGAUGAUAGUAACAGGAACACAACUCGUGCUACCAGUCACUUGUGUCCUUCUCAUUGUGGAACCAAAAUAUAGUAAUUAUGGUUUAGGACUACUGAUGGCUGUUCAGUCACUUUUAGGGUGGUUUCCAGGGCCAACAACUUACGGUGGUGUGAUAGACUCAGCAUGCCUAGUGUGGGAGAGUAAGUGUGGAGAGAGAGGCAACUGUAUGGUAUACGACACUCGGUUGUAUAACUACCGUUAUAACACAUUCACAUCCCUCUUACAAGUUGUAGCGAUAUGUGCCAAUUCGUUUGCAUAUCACAAAUGGAAGAAAGAUUCUGAUAGAAAAACAAAUAAUUUAAAAGUGACUAUUGCUGACUGAAAUUACCAGGGUUACCCCCAGAAACACUGAUCUGGAGUAUUCAUUAUAUAAUCAUUGUUAUAAUCAUUGUAUAAUCAUUGUUAUUAUUCAUUGUAUAAUCGUACAAUCCUAAAUCUCAUCUGAUAUAACAAUUGUGUUGGUGAGCUGGAAUAUUGUAGAAUAUACACUUCUUAGACUGAAAUAUUUCAUAAUUAAUGUAUACUUCUAUAGCUAAUCUAGAAUAUUGUAUUUUAUUAGUACUUCAAUUAAAAUACUCAAUUCUGAUUGGUUG
rnacentral:misc_RNA from 1 species